UACAGAGGUCUCAAGCGUUGUUCGGAUUCAUUGGGCGUAAAGGGUGCGUAGGCGGCGCGGUAAGUCGGGUGUGAAAUCUCGGGCUUAACUCCGAAACUGCAUUCGAUACUGCCGGUGCUUCGAGGACUGGAGAGGAGACUGGAAUUUAUGGUGUAGCGUGAAAUGCGUAGAGAUCGAUAAGGAAGACCAGUGGCGAAGGCGG
rnacentral:rRNA from 1 species